rnacentral:rRNA from 1 species
AGAAUGUCGCGGUGAAUACGUUCCCGGGUCUUGUACACACCGCCCGUCACACCAUGGGAGUCGGGAAUGCCCGAAGUCAGUGACCCAACCUUUGGAGGGAGCUGCCGAAGGCAGGUCUGAUAACUGGGGUGAAGUCGUAACAAGGUAUC